rnacentral:rRNA from 1 species
CACGUAGGGCGCAAGCGUUGUCCGGAAUUAUUGGGCGUAAAGAGCUCGUAGGCGGUCUGUUGCGUCCGCUGUGAAAACUCGGGGCUUAACCCCGAGCCUGCAGUGGAUACGAGCAGACUAGAGGUAGGUAGGGGAGAAUGGAAUUCCCGGUGUAGCGGUGAAAUGCGCAGAUAUCGGGAGGAACACCGGUGGCGAAGGCGGUUCUCUGGGCCUUACCUGACGCUGAGGAGCGAAAGCGUGGGGAGCGAACAGG